CACAAGCGGUGGAGUAUGUGGUUUAAUUCGAUGCAACGCGAAGAACCUUACCUGGUCUUGACAUCCCGGAGACCCUUAGGAAACUAGGGGUGCUUCCAUCUGGAAGAAUCUGGAGACAGGUGCUGCAUGGCUGUCGUCAGCUCGUGUCGUGAGAUGUUGGGUUAAGUCCCGCAACGAGCGCAACCCUUGCCUUUAGUUGCCAGCAGUUCGGCUGGGCACUCUAAAGGGGACUGCCGGUGUUAAACCGGAGGAAGGUGGGGAUGACGUCAAGUCCUCAUGGCCUUUAUGACCAGGGCUACACACGUACUACAAUGGCCGAUACAAAGGGCAGCGACACUGCGAGGUGAAGCCAAUCCCGUAAAAUCGGUCUCAGUCCGGAUUGGAGUCUGCAACUCGACUCCAUGAAGUUGGAAUCGCUAGUAAUCGUGGAUCAGCAUGCCACGGUGAAUACGUUCCCGGGCCUU
rnacentral:rRNA from 1 species